CCCCAGACUCCUACGGGAGGCAGCAGUGGGGAAUAUUGCACAAUGGGGGAAACCCUGAUGCAGCAACGCCGCGUGAGUGAAGAAGUAUUUCGGUAUGUAAAGCUCUAUCAGCAGGGAAGAAGAUGACGGUACCUGAGUAAGAAGCCCCGGCUAACUACGUGCCAGCAGCCGCGGUAAUACGUAGGGGGCAAGCGUUAUCCGGAUUUACUGGGUGUAAAGGGAGCGCAGACGGUGAGACAAGUCUGAAGUGAAAGCCCGGGGCUCAACCCCGGUCCGCCGUUGAAACUGGCAGUCUCGAGUUGGAGAGAAGUAUGCGGAAUGCGCGGUGUAGCGGUGAAAUGCAUAGAUAUCGCGCAGAACUCCGAUUGCGAAGGCAGCAUGCCGGCGCCACACUGACGCUGAGGCACGAAAGCGUGGGUAUCGAACAGGAUUAGAUACCCGUGUAAG
rnacentral:rRNA from 1 species